GGCCACUCUCAGUUGGCAGAGCAUUGGGCUAGUAUCCCAAAGGUCGUAGGUUCGAUUCCCACCGUGGCCA
rnacentral:tRNA from 1 species